AAUGAACGUUGGCGGCGUGGAUUAGGCAUGCAAGUCGAGCGGGUGUAGUAAUACAUCAGCGGCGAAAGGGAGAGUAACGCGUAGUUACGUGCCCCGAGGUCCAGAAUAGCUACGGGAAACUGUAGGUAAUGCUGGAUGAUAUCUCCGGAUCAAAGGUGUGAUUCCGCCUCGGGAGCGGACUGCGUCCUACUAGCUAGUUGGCGGGGUAAUGGCCCACCAAGGCGACGAUGGGUAGCGGGUGUGAGAGCUUGACCCGUCUCACUGGGACUGAGACACUGCCCAGACACCUACGGGUGGCUGCAGUCGAGAAUCUUCGGCAAUGAGCGCAAGCUUGACCGAGCGACGCCGCGUGCGGGACGAAGGCCUUCGGGUUGUAAACCGCUUUCGGUUGGGAGGAAAUCGCUAGGGGUUCUCCCCUAGUGUUGACCUAUCUUCGGAAGAAGGACGGGCUAAGUUCGUGCCAGCCGCCGCAGUAAAAC
rnacentral:rRNA from 1 species